rnacentral:sRNA from 12 species
AUAAGUACCGAAGGUUAUGCCUUGACAGGUCAAUAAGCAAUAACUGAUUGAAUAGAUUAAGCGUACUGUAAGUACGUCAGCUUGCUUAGAAGAAAACCAUAUUAAUGGUUUUCUUUUUUUAUGGUU